UUGAUGCGGAAGGUAACACACUAACAAUAUCAAGCUAGCAGCACCGUUAUUGCUUCUGCUGCUGAUUAGUGAGCUUGCGCUACUAGUCUGGCAUUCAUCUAAGGCAGGCGGUGAAAGGAAUCCCCCGACUAGAGUUUGUUGAUUACAAAGUUGCGUUCGUCGGUCGUUCGGUCGGGUGUUCGGCCAGUGCUUUCGUCAUCAUGGGCAUAGAUGACAUCGAUGAAAUAUCUUUAGUGUGCUGUUGUGUCUUUUGUCGCUCGUGGUUGGUUGAUAUUGUUUUGUUUGGGUUCAGUCAAAAAGAAAUAACAACAAAAAAAUCAGUCAGAGCUCCGGAGAAAUAAAAUAUUAUGUUGUAUACCUACACGAAGACGACCGACGACGGACGACGAAUUUAGAAGCAUGUGCCAUGUGUGUAAAGAGAAGAGCCGUCGCUUCUGGCGCUCGUCAUGUUGUAUUCGUAUUCAAAGACAAAUGUGUAAUGAACUCGCUGGCAGGAGACAAACUCUCAUCAGCCAGCCCGAGCCCAGUAUACGAUUAAAAACAUUUUCUUUUACAAAUUCGUUGCGCGCAAGAUAAACAGUGGAUGAGUUGAGUACAGAGCAAAGCGAUGGCAAACGAUUGGGAGAUAAUUUCAUGUUUGUUGAGAGAUUCCAGUAAAAGUAAAUGCAGUGAGAACAAACUUCACACAAUUCAUGACGAUUACUGAAGAGGCGGGAAAUAUCAAAUGAGUACCAGAUUGUUAGCUGCUGCUGCUUAUCUGUUAGCAUCUGGUCAAUACUAUGUACACUUUUUUUAGUUACGUCUUACGUGUUGAUUAAAAUAAAAAUAUAAUAACUCAACCAAGUAUAUAAUAUUUAUUUUUUUUUUUAUGAUUGCCUGGCAUGUACAAUAU